CCCUUAGAUGUUCUGGGCAGCACGCGCGCUACAAUGGUCUUCGCAAACGGAUGCAUUCUCGAAGGAGAAUGCCAAUCUUGGAAUCUAUGCCUUGGUCGGGACAGUUGCUUGCAAUUUUUCGACUCGAACCAGGAAUUCCUUGUAAUCGUGAUUCAUCACAUCACGAUGAAUACGUCCCUGCCCUUUGUACACACCGCCCGUCGCUCCUACCGAUCGAGUGAUCCGGUGAAUAAUUCGGACUGCAGCACUGCUUGGUCUCCAGGCUUUGCAGCGGAAAGUUUAGUGAACCUUAUCACUUAGAGGAAGGAGAAGUCGUAACA
rnacentral:rRNA from 1 species